rnacentral:rRNA from 1 species
CAGGUGCUGCAUGGCUGUCGUCAGCUCGUGUUGUGAAAUGUUGGGUUAAGUCCCGCAACGAGCGCAACCCUUAUCCUUUGUUGCCAGCGACUCGGUCGGGAACUCAAAGGAGACUGCCGGUGAUAAACCGGAGGAAGGUGGGGAUGACGUCAAGUCAUCAUGGCCCUUACGAGUAGGGCUACACACGUGCUACAAUGGCGUAUACAAAGAGAAGCGACCUCGCGAGAGCAAGCGGAACUCAUAAAGUACGUCGUAGUCCGGAUUGGAGUCUGCAACUCGACUCCAUGAAGUCGGAAUCGCUAGUAAUCGUAGAUCAGAAUGCUACGGUGAAUACGUUCCCGGGCCUUGUACACACCGCCCGUCACACCAUGGGAGUGGGUUGCAAAAGAAGUAGGUAGCUUAACCUUCGGGAGGGCGCUUACCACUUUGUGAUUCAUGACUGGGGUGAAGUCGUAACAAGGUAACCGUAGGGGAACCUGCGGUUGGAUCACCUCCUUA